CACAACUCGACAAACAACAUGCGGCUGGGUUGCGUGGCUUUUGUGAUACUUUUUCUCCGCAGAUGUCUCGGUGCUGAAUUGACACAGUCUCCGAUGUCCAUCACCCGACAUGAGGGCGAAACGGCUACUAUGAGCUGUGAUCUGGGCUCAGCGAACACGAACAUCAUCCAUUGGUAUCGGCAGCCAGAUGGGCAACUCCCGGUCAGGAUCCUUUAUUAUAAUAAUGGGGGCAACAUGCGCGACGAUGGAAUUGAUGACAGAUUUACAGCGAGCGGUGUUGGUCAAGCUGAUCAACUAAAGCAGUGUUUUCUAACUGUGAAGCGUCUCCAGAAAGAGGAUUCCGGCACCUAUUACUGUGCCUAUUGGGACCCACACAGUUAA